UAACGUUAGCUAAUUGAGCUUUAGAUUGAUUUUGCCGUGGGUCGUUAUCUUAACAUUUAGAAAGUGAUAUCAGCUGCAUUAUUACUGAUCUACAUGAACUCACAGGUUGAUGGUCCUCUCCAGUGUGAGCGGUUUAGCAGGCCCGCUCAUGUAUUUGUUCUCAAACUGAACGGAACCACGACGCGGCCAGCCGGUGGUCGAGCGAUUGGGAGGCACGACCGACAUCUCUAACGUUUGCAGGACGAGGCUGAAUCCUCCUAUAAAUGUACCUCUGGUGGUAGUUGGUUCGUAACUCGCUGGACUAUCUGAAUAUCAAAAGAAACUCUCAACACUUGUGUGGACAAUCCACAACAAUUUCUCUACCGUCGUUUCCCUCGGCCCUCCUCUUCCUGGUGAUGAAGUGCGGUUUUUCUGGCCGAUGUCCCCACCAGCGACACCUGCUGGUCUGGAUGAUGAACAUCAGCGGGUUAUUUAAAACCAUCAAUCUAAAUUCCCUUCUUCCAGCUGGCCUUUCAUUUCCAGGAUGUCGGUCUCAUCAACGGAAUUUAGUUAAGGAAAGCUCUGCUGUGUAGGCAACAUAUCAUUUACCCUGGGUGGCAGUUGGAGCACUGUAUUUGAAGACUAUCAUAA